GUUGCAGUGAGCCAAGAUCAUGUCACUGCACUUCAGCCUGGCGACAGAGGGAGACUCCGUCUCAAAAAAAAAAAAAAAAUUAUUAUUGGGUACUAGGCUUAGUACCUGGGUGACAAAAUAAUCUGUACAACAAACCCCCAUGUCAUAAGUUUCCCUAUAUAACAAACCUGCACUUGUACCCCUUAACCUAAAAUAAAAGUAAAAAAAAAAAAAAAAAGAAUUGAAGGCUGAAAGCCAGAAGGGAAGUGAGAAAGAGGAGCUCAGGGCAGUGAAAUGAAGUGGAAAUGUUGUCAGGGAACUCUACAUAUAAGGGGUUAAGAGUGACCAGGUGAGUUUUAAACACAGGGAUGUCCCAUAUUUGGUUUUAAGUUAUUGGCUGUGCAGUGUUGUAAUUGGAUGUAACUCCCAUCCUAUAUCAAAUUAUGUUUACAUAAUUAAGAGAGUCCACUAAAGUGAUUUUUCCUGAGCAAAGAAAGUCUGCUCUGUGUUCUGAUAUACAUUUUUAAGCACCUCUCACUCAUCAUCCAAAAGUGUCAGCUGGGUUCCACCUACUAAUGACCAGUUAUUCUAUGAGAUGAUCUGAAAGAUUAUAGAAUGGCUAAUAAAGGGAGUAGCAAAAGCCUGUCACACAAUGAAUACUUGAAGAGCUACCAGGCGUCUGUUUGACAGAGGGGAUUGCCCUGCAUGGCCAUGAGAUGUCUGGGCUUGAUGUUCACCGAUUUUCCCUCAGCUCCGACUGUGGCUCCUCUCAGCUGACUCUGACCCUGCUCUCAGCCGGGCUGCAUCUGCCCAUCUCAGCACAUCAAUAAACAGCAGAGGGAAACUACCACCUUGGAAGGAGCCAGGCAGUUUCUGCUGGGUAGGCCGCAGCCUGGAACAUGGAAGUAGCUUCUUCCAUCCUACACUGGAAACCACCCAGCAUCCCGGGCCCUCCAGAGAAGAGCCAGACUCCCUUCCCUGGGAAGAGACUAUAGUCCUAUCUGUAUCCUCCGUGGUCAUUGCCCCUCAGUCACAGCAAUGAAGAGCAAAUUACCUGUUUUCUGUAUGUUCCUCUGACAACAACUGCCACAGAGUAAAUAUGAAAGGUUCUGGAUGAUUCCUUGUCAGCUUUUAUUAAAAUUCCACAUACUUGGCAUUUCUUAGCUAUCUGGGUUGACUCCUGGUUCCACCCCUUACUAGUUGCGUGACCUUGAAAAAGUGACUUACCUUCUCACAUUCUCAGUUUCCAUAUCUGUCAAGUGUAGGUAAAAGCACCAAACUGGUAGAGUUAUUUUGAGAAUUAUAUGAGUUCUGAGUGAGAGGGUGCUAAGACCUUGCUGGUUAGAGUGGUUUUUCAAUCCUGAUCACCUCCUUCUCCCUCUUAGCUUCUUUUCUCCUCCCCCUCCUGCUUCUAGUCUAGGCUUCUGGCAAUUUUGACGUAACAAAAGUGGGAUUCCUUCAUUCCUGACUUCAGAGCUUUUCCUUACUUCAGUAUUGCAUGAUAAUUCUCAAGCCUGUUCUUUACAUAAAUACAAAAAGGAGAAAGUGAAAUAGUAGAGGAACCGACCGAUUUGAAGGAGCUGCCACUAUUUGAUUCCUCCUGUUAGGACAUCUGAAUGACCCCAAGUUCCUGUUCUUGAGGCUGUUGUAUCAUAUUCUUAAAAGCUAUGCAUGCAUUCUGCUUUGAAUGUGUCCCUCAGCCUCAUUCUUCUCCACUUGCUGGGGGCCAUCCCGCCCCACGGGAAGGUAAGUUCAGGCUCAGAAGGAAAGACACGACAAAAAAAUCUUGCUUUUAUUUUUGUUGUCUAAAAUCAUGUUUCAUGCUCUUCUUUGAAUAAAAUCCAGGACUCCAGAGAUGACCUGUUACUUUUCUUUCAGCAAGUCUCUAAUUUGCCGAGGAGUAAACUUGUAAUGAAAAGAAACCAGAACUCCCCAAGGUAGCUCCCCCUCACAGUCAUUCCUCAAGGCAGG
rnacentral:lncRNA from 1 species